UCAAGAAACUUCCACAAUGGACGAAAGUCUGAUGGAGCAACGCCGCGUGCAGGACGAAGGCCCUUGGGUCGUAAACUGCUUUUAUGAGUGAAGAUUUUAGACGGUAACUCAAGAAUAAGGGACGGCUAACUACGUGCCAGCAGCCGCGGUCAUACGUAGGUCCCAAGCGUUAUCCGGAAUUACUGGGCGUAAAGAGUUGUGUAGGUGGCAGUUCAAGUUAGUAGUGAAAGCGUGUGGCUCAACCACAUAUCCACUAUUAAAACUGGGCAGCUAGAGGGCGAGAGAGGUUAUUGGAAUUUCUAGUGUAGGAGUGAAAUCCGUAGAUAUUAGAAGGAACACCGAUGGCGUAGGCAGAUAACUGGCUCGCACCUGACACUCAGACACGAAAGCGUGGGGAGCGAACGGGAUUAGAUACCCCAGUAGUCCCUGAGCGGGCUGGCAAGGCGCAU
rnacentral:rRNA from 1 species